GUAGGUGGCAAGCGUUGUCCGGAAUUAUUGGGCGUAAAGCGCGCGCAGGCGGGUUCUUUAAGUCUGAUGUGAAAGCCCACGGGCUCAACCGUGGAGGGUCAUUGGAAACUGGAGAACUUGAGUACAGAAGAGGAAAGCGGAAUUCCACGUGUAGCGGUGAAAUGCGUAGAGAUGUGGAGGAACACCAGUGGCGAAGGCGGCUUUCUGGUCUGUAACUGACGCUGAGGCGCGAAAGCGUGGGGAGUAAACAGGAUUAGAUACCCUGGUAGUCCACGCCGUAAACGAUGAGUGCUAAGUGUUAGGGGGUUUCCGCCCCUUAGUGCUGCAGCUAACGCAUUAAGCACUCCGCCUGGGGAGUACGGCCGCAAGGCUA
rnacentral:rRNA from 1 species